UACGUAGGGUGCGAGCGUUAUUCGGAAUUACUGGGCGUAAAGCGUGCGCAGGCGGUUUUGUAAGCCAGAUGUGAAAUCCCCGGGCUCAACCUGGGAAUGGCAUUUGGGACUGCAAGGCUGGAGUGUGGCAGAGGAGACUGGAAUUCCUGGUGUAGCGGUGAAAUGCGCAGAUAUCAGGAGGAACACCAAUGGCGAAGGCAGCUCGCUGGGACGGUACUGACGCUGAGACGCGAAAGCGUGGGGAGCAAACAGG
rnacentral:rRNA from 1 species